rnacentral:rRNA from 1 species
GCAAAACGCGAAGAACCUUACCAGGUCUUGACAUCCCACUGACCGCUAUGGAGACAUAGUUUUCCCUUCGGGGACAGUGGUGACAGGUGGUGCAUGGUUGUCGUCAGCUCGUGUCGUGAGAUGUUGGGUUAAGUCCCGCAACGAGCGCAACCCUUGAUCUUAGUUGCCAUCAUUUAGUUGGGCACUCUAAGGUGACUGCCGGUGACAAACCGGAGGAAGGUGGGGAUGACGUCAAAUCAUCAUGCCCCUUAUGACCUGGGCUACACACGUGCUACAAUGGACGGUACAAACGGUUGCCAACCCGCGAGGGGGAGCUAAUCCGAUAAAACCGUUCUCAGUUCGGAUUGUAGGCUGCAACUCGCCUACAUGAAGCCGGAAUCGCUAGUAAUCGCGGAUCAGCAUGCCGCGGUGAAUACGUUCCCGGGUCUUGUACACACCG